UACGAAGGGGGCUAGCGUUGUUCGGAAUUACUGGGCGUAAAGCGCGCGUAGGCGGUCUUCCAAGUCAGUGGUGAAAGCCCGGAGCUCAACUCCGGAACUGCCAUUGAAACUGUUAGACUUGAGGACGAGAGAGGUGAGUGGAAUUCCCAGUGUAGAGGUGAAAUUCGUAGAUAUUGGGAAGAACACCGGUGGCGAAGGCGGCUCACUGGCUCGUUUCUGACGCUCAGGCGCGACAGCGUGGGGAUCAAACAGG
rnacentral:rRNA from 1 species